CUGGGCACCAACACAAGUUAAGUCAUUUUGAUAAGUGUUGCACUCCUCGUAAUGCUGCGUUUUUUGAUUAAAGGAACAAGAAACUGUUGCGUCUCUAGCAGGGACAGUUCCACUUUAACAAUGUUGCAUGCAGGCCCUCCAACACUCCCAAUUUUGGGUCUAGUUCCAUUGUCUCCAUUUUGUUCCCUCAUAACCCACAUCCAGGGACCACAGG